CAGUAGCCACGGUAAUACGUAGGUGGCAAGCGUUGUCCGGAAUUAUUGGGUGUAAAGGGCUCGCAGGCGGUUUCUUAAGUCUGAUGUGAAAGCCCCCGGCUCAACCGGGGAGGGUCAUUGGAAACUGGGAAACUUGAGUGCAGAAGAGGAGAGUGGAAUUCCACGUGUAGCGGUGAAAUGCGUAGAGAUGCGGAGGAACACCAGUGGCGAAGGCGACUCUCUGGUCUGUAACUGACGCUGAGGAGCGAAAGCGUGGGGAGCGAACAGGAUUAGAUACCCCUGUAGUCCCUGUCUCUUAUAC
rnacentral:rRNA from 1 species